GAUGAACGCUGGCGGCGUGCUUAACACAUGCAAGUCGAGCGAGAAACUACAUGCAGACACUUCGGUAGAAGCGAGUAGCGGAAAGCGGCGGACGGGUGAGUAACGCGUAGGCAACCUGCCCUUCACAGAGGUAUAGCCUCGGGAAACCGGGAUUAAAACCACAUAAAAUCAUAGGUUCGCAUGAACCAAAGGUCAAAGAUUUAUCGGUGAAGGAUGGGCCUGCGUCUGAUUAGCUGGUUGGUAGGGUAAAAGCCUACCAAGGCGACGAUCAGUAGCCGACCUGAGAGGGUGAUCGGCCACAUUGGAACUGAGACACGGUCCAAACUCCUACGGGAGGCAGCAGUGGGGGAUAUUGCACAAUGGGGGAAACCCUGAUGCAGCAACGCCGCGUGAGGUAUGAAGGCCUUUGGGUUGUAAGCCUCUGUCCUAGGGGAAGAAAAAAAUGACGUACCCGAGGAGGAGCCC
rnacentral:rRNA from 1 species